rnacentral:rRNA from 1 species
AACAAACGCUGGCGGCGUGCCUAAUACAUGCAAGUCGAACGGGGAAAGUAGCAAUAUGAGUCCUAGUGGCGCACGGGUGAGUAACGCGUGGCUAAUCUGCCAUGAAGCGGGGGAUAACUAGUCGAAAGAUUAGCUAAUACCGCAUAAGACCACAAGAACUGAGGUUCAAGGGGUCAAAGGUUUUUCGCUUAAAGAUGAGUCCGCGUAAGAUUAGCUAGUUGGUGAGGUAAUGGCUCACCAAGGCAACGAUCUUUAACUGGUCUGAGCGGAUGAUCAGUCACACCGCAUCUGGGAGGCAGUCCAGGCGACUACGCGAGGAAGCAGGAGAGAAUAAUGCACCAAGGAGGAGUCUGUGAUGCAGCGCCGCCGCGUGAGAAAUGAUGGCAUUCGGGUCGAAAAGCUCUGUCGCAGGGGAAUAACACAAUGAAUGUACCCUGUAAGAAAGGAUCGGCUAACUUCGUG